rnacentral:lncRNA from 1 species
GGUGUUACCCCGAUGUUACCAGAACUAGGAAUAGAACUUCAGCUCUCCAUCCCAGACAGCAUCGCUUGCUGAGAGAAAAUGGAUCCGCCACCAGUUUUUGCUUGUAAUAAACAGCCUGAAGAGUCUUCCAAAGUGUGGAUAAGGAAUGAACCAUAAAAAGAAAAAUGUUUUUUACAAUCUUUUCCUCAUCCCUUGUCAGUCUUAUUGCCUCAUAGCCCACUGGACUCCACACUUUUCCAGAAAGAAGAAAGAACCCUGGACACAGGAAGAGUCACAAAACUAUUCUAUUAAAUAAUUGCUUCUGGAAUUCUUUGCUAAUAACAUCAAAUUUUCAACUGAAAUUGACUCUAUAUAUUGGAAUAAGGGCCCAACAGACACAUUCCAGACUCAGAAAACUGAGAAGCGUUUAGAUUUUCAGCGAGCAAUCUUGUUUGCAGUUAAUUUCCAUUGAAUAGCUUAUACAUGUUGGUGUCUGGAGAUAGUAGGUUAUAAAGCAGCAUGGCCAUUUUCUUUUCUCUCUCUCUUUUUUUGAUUGGGUAAGAAAAGGGAGGUGAUCUAUUAGCAUUCCCCUAUGAACUCUUCUUCCCCCCCCUUUUUUCCCCACAGUCCAAAUCUUUUAAUUCCUUCUCCAUUUAUAUCAGGGUUUCCCAGACUCAGCACUGUUGGCAUUUUGGGUGGGGUAAUUCUUUCCUGUGGACGGCUGUCCUGUGCAUUUUAGGAUAGUUGGCAGCAUCCCUGGCCUCCACCCCCUAGAUGCCAGCAGCAUGCCCACCUCAAUCAAGACAGUCAAAAAUGCCUCCAGACUUUACCAAAUGUCCCUUGGGGGGACAAAACCACCCCCGUUGAGAACUACUGUUUUAUAUUUAAAGUCAAGUGGCUGUUUAGCCAUUUGCUGCCUACAUGUCAGAUAAUCCUAAAAUGGAAUUGGGGGCUGAAUAAAACAGAGGGUACCAAGUUGAGUGAGCCCAUCAGCCUCUGUGUGGGACACUCAUCAGUGAGCUCCAGAAAUGGAAUUCUUCAAUAUCGUUGAUGAGUCAGCAGCCAGAAACUAGUCAUGAACCCACUGUCUCUGGAAAUGGUGAAUUUUUGGUGCAGUGAUGUUCACAGCUCCAUGACCCCUUAGGGCAUGGUUAUGAAUUGUGAUGUUCACUACUCUUUUGAGCCUCAG